CACUAAUUUAGGAUCAAAACUUUGCUGGCAUAUAUUGUAGUACAAGCAGAAAUGUGUAAAUGUACUGCAUUUUAUAUGCUUACUAUUUAUGCAUGCAUCAAGAUGUGCAGAUCUAUUGCAUUUGAAAGUGAGCUAGCUAGGGGAGGCUUCCUGGAUUGGAGAACCAUCAUUGAGUGCAGCGUUGAUGAAAUCCUACAUUUUGUGCUAUUAAACUGUUACCAGCCCUUUAUGGGGCAUGGCAUCAUUUCACCAGCGCUGCAUUCAAUCAUGUUUUUCUAACUCUUCCGGGCAUGGUUUUGCGUGCAUGUAUCAAGGGGUUGUGAAGAAACUUUUGUUGGAUGUCAAAGGAAAGUGCCGUUGUGGAUCCUAAUAGUGGGUGCGAAACAGGCAUUUGCGUGGUCUGUUGAGCUCACUAUUUGUGAUCCAUGUCUACAGGGCGCUGUAGCUGUUCCUGUGUAGCCCAACUUUGUUUCAUUUUCUUUCGAAAUAUGUAAAAAGCACUUUGAGAGUGAAGUAAAGUAUAUUUACACCAAUGACAAUGAUUCACAGCCUCCUUCACCAUAAAAUGCACAGCUAUAUAUUCUUAUAUAUCUUUUGUGCAAACCUCAUAUUUGUCCCCCAACUAUCUAUUGAUUCUCAUCUAGGUCCCCAAACUAUCAAUUUUCUCAAUGUCUAUUAAUGGUUAAAUGUGUAAGUUGCAUAUAUGACACAAAGUGUAGGUGUGGAUUGAGGAAAGUUUGGCCUUUGUUUAGGAAAAAGUGGGAGGAUUUUAAAUGGGGGACCCAAUUGAGAAAUUUAUGAUAACUUUGCUGACCCAAUUGAUAAAGUUGAUAGUUGGGGACUACAUUGAGAGUCAGUUCAUAGUUAGGCAACUAGUUUGUAGUCUCUCUUUUUUCUGAACAUUUCUUUUCUUUGAAUGAAUCCAGUUCAACUCCCAGGAACCCAAAACCCAAACCCAGGUCCAGUGAGCCACAAAACCAGUCGCAGGCUUAUUUUCCAGGCUGAUCAUGCAGUGCUGGCGCACUGAUCAUCAGAAUAAACACAAAUUAGAUUAACCUUUUUUGCUCUGUCAGCUGCCCUACUGCUCAUCAGAAUUAACAUAAAUUAGAGAAACUUUUUCUUUUUUUUUUCUCUGUCCAUUCCCAUUUAAAAAGUUUCAAGAAGAUUGCUACAGUUUUUGAGGCUCACAGAAGAACCACCAUGUGCCCUAUCCUUGUACUGUCCCAUGUAUUGUUAGAAACUUGAAAGGCAUCUUGAAGCAUUGGAAUCAGAGAUACGAGGGCCCAGUGGUACCAGACAAGUCAAAUCUCUACAUAUUUUCAGUUCAGUUUUUCGAUGCCUGGACAAGCUUCAAGCAUGGCAUAGCAAAUGCACCUCUGCCUUUAUCCCACAUCUUUUCAUUUCAUUCACCCAUUUUUAGGUCCCGUGUAAGUUCUAAGCAUGAUAGAAUCUAAAAUAACGUUUAAUUACUGCUUCGAAAUAAAAAAAAAAAUAAAGAUAUUCAAGACGAAAAAA